rnacentral:tRNA from 1 species
GGCCCCAUCGACUAAUGGAUAGGUCACCACCCUUUCACGGUGGCAGUACGGGUUCGAAUCCCGUUGGGGUCACAA